GAUGAACGCUGGCGGCGUGCCUAAUACAUGCAAGUCGAGCGAACAGACGAGGAGCUUGCUCCUCUGACGUUAGCGGCUGACGGGUGAGUAACACGUGGAUAACCUACCUAUAAGACUGGGAUAACUUCGGGAAACCGGAGCUAAUACCGGAUAAUAUAUUGAACCGCAUGGUUCAAUAGUGAAAGACGGUUUUGCUGUCACUUAUAGAUGGAUCCGCGCCGCAUUAGCUAGUUGGUAAGGUAACGGCUUACCAAGGCAACGAUGCGUAGCCGACCUGAGAGGGUGAUCGGCCACACUGGAACUGAGACACGGACCAGACUACUACGGGAGGCAGCAGUAGGGAAUCUUCCGCAAUGGGCGAAAGCUUGACGGAGCAACGCCGCGUGAGUGAUGAAGGUCUUCGGAUCGUAAAACUCUGUUAUUAGGGAAGAACAAAUGUGUAAGUAACUAUGCACGUCUUGACGGUACCUAAUCAGAAAGCCACGGCUAACUACGUG
rnacentral:rRNA from 1 species